AACGGGUGAGUAACACGUAUCUAAUCUACCAUUUANNGGGGAAUAACUGUUGGAAACGACAGCUAAUACCGCAUAAUAUUGCUGGAUAAUUUCCAGUAAUGAAAGGAGCUUUCAAGCUCCGCUGAUUGAUGAGGAUGCGGCGCAUUAGCUAGUUGGUAGGGUAAUGGCCUACCAAGGCAAUGAUGCGUAGCCGAUCUGAGAGGAUGAACGGCCACAUUGGGACUGAGACACGGCCCGAACUUCUACGGAAGGCAGCAGUAGGGAAUUUUUCACAAUGGGCGAAAGCCUGAUGGAGCAAUGCCGCGUGACUGAUGAAGGUCUUCGGAUUGU
rnacentral:rRNA from 1 species